rnacentral:rRNA from 1 species
AGAAUCAACGCUGGCGGCGUGCCUAACACAUGCAAGUCGCACGAGAAAGUGGAGCAAUCCAUGAGUAAAGUGGCGCACGGGUGAGUAACACGUGAAUAAUCUACCUCCGAGUGGGGAAUAACUGAGAGAAAUCUUAGCUAAUACCACAUAAUACCCACGGGUCAAAGCAGCAAUGCGCUUGGAGAGGAGUUCGCGGCCGAUUAGUUAGUUGGCGGGGUAAUGGCCCACCAAGACGAUGAUCGGUA